rnacentral:rRNA from 1 species
UACGAAGGGGGCUAGCGUUGUUCGGAAUCACUGGGCGUAAAGGGCGCGUAGGCGGCUUUGUAAGUCGGGGGUGAAAGCCUGUGGCUCAACCACAGAAUUGCCUUCGAUACUGCAUGGCUUGAGACCGGAAGAGGUUAGUGGAACUGCGAGUGUAGAGGUGAAAUUCGUAGAUAUUCGCAAGAACACCAGUGGCGAAGGCGGCUGACUGGUCCGGUUCUGACGCUGAUGCGCGACAGCGUGGGGGAGCAAACAGG